ensembl:ncRNA C34E11.9 ncRNA
AUCUGUUGUUCCGGCCAAAAUAAUGCGGAAGAUGAAGAAGCGCAGAUUUUGUUUCGAAGUUGUCACCCGACCGCCGGGGCCCAUGACUCAGAAGUCACAUUGCUGUAAAAUUGCUUAGGAAGCGACUGAAAGAAGU